rnacentral:rRNA from 1 species
UACGUAGGCAGCACGCGUUGUUCGGAAUUACUGGGCGUAAAGAGUGUGUAGGCGGUGCUCUAAGUUUGGUGUGAAAUCUCCCGGCUCAACUGGGAGGGUGCGCCGAAAACUGGAAUGCUUGAACGUGGGAGAGGAAAGCGGAAUUCCUGGUGUAGCGGUGAAAUGCGUAGAUAUCAGGAGGAACACCUGCGGUGUAGACGGCUUUCUGGACCAUUGUUGACGCUGAGACACGAAAGCGUGGGUAGCAAACAGG